rnacentral:lncRNA from 1 species
AUGUAUAGGGGGAAGGGGACAGGGAUACUGGAGUGAUGGAGGUAGAUAUGUAUAGGGGGAAGGGGACAGGGAUACUGGAGUGAUGGAGGUAGAUAUGUAUAGGGGGAAGGAGACAGGGAUACUGGAGUGAUGGAGGUAGAUAUGUAUAGGGGGAAGGGGACAGGGAUACUGGAGUGAUGGAGGUAGAUAUGUAUAGGAGACAGGGAUACUGGAGUGAUGGAGGUAGAUAUGUAUAGGGGGAAGGGGACAGGGAUACUGGAGUGAUGGAGGUAGAUAUGUAUAGGAGACAGGGAUACUGGAGUGAUGGAGGUAGAUAUGUAUAGGGGGAAGGGGACAGGGAUACUGGAGUGAUGGAGGUAGAUAUGUAUAGGGGACAGGGAUACUGGAGUGAUGGAG